rnacentral:tRNA from 1 species
GCAGGGGUGGCAGAGUCUGGUCAAAUGCGCAGGGCUUAGGACCCUGUACCGUAGAGGUUGCCUGGGUUCAAAACUUUUUUAAGAGGGUGAGAAUCCCAGCCCCUGCA